GUUACGCCCAACUCGAGUCGACCAUCACUACCAUCGCCUGUUUUGUCAAUUUAGUGGUUUUAACCUUUGUUAAAUAAUGGAUUAUUGGAUAUUUCUCCAAAAUGAACGAGCAGAGUCACCAUUAUCAUUUCGAGAUAAUAAAACUUUUACUUUCCCACAAUAACGUCGAUACUGCAACGUUUUUAUUCAUUUAUUAUUAGUUAUUCGCGGACAAUCAGAUAAGACGAGUUUGCCGUAUUUAGUCGAGAAGAAUAGGAUAGGUGGAUUUAUGACUCGAGAUCUAAACAAGGGGUUUAUACAACUAAACAAAUAUAUAUAUGGAAUCAACAUAUAAAUAAAAUGUACAAACACUACAUUAUUAAACUAUCGAAAUAUAAGUUUUAAAUACGACUUUUGUUGAUUAACUGACAUAUCUUCUUCUUUUUCUGUCGAGUUGAGGACUUUUACUUACCAACUUUUUAGAUCGGUUUGUUUUUGAAAUGCUUAGAUUUCAGUGAUGAAAUAUGAGUUUCGAACACUUCUUUAGUUGAUUAGCUGACAUAUAUUCUGUUUUUGUCGAGUUGGGGACUUUUACUUAAUUAUUUUUUAGAUCAGUUUGUUUAUGGAAUGUUUAGACUUCAAUAUUGUAAUAAAUUUUGAACACGACUUUGUUCAUAAGCUUGACAAGUCUUCUUCUUUUUUGUUUUGUCGGAAGCUUUCACUUAAUCAUUUUUCAGAUAGGCUUGUUGUAACAGUAUUAAUAUAUUUUGAAAGUAGAAGAAAUUUUAAUAGUUCUUCUUCUAUUUAUAGAUAGCUUUGACAUAUUCUUCUGUUAUUGUUCGUGACGAAAACUUGAACCGAUUUUUGGACUUGGUAAUUUUGAGAAUUUCUAAUUCUUUGUAUGUUCAAUUAUUAUACAGUUUUUGCUAUUACUUUAUCAAUUUUUAAACCUUGAGUUUACUUAUUUUGUUUAUCAAGAUUAUUUGUAUAUCUUAAGAAUGUUAUAUGCAGAGUAACGACUACUUUUAGGUUAGGUUCGGAUAAUUUAAUGAAACAAUUAUUAGAAAACGUAUUUUUAUUUUUUUAAUACAAAUUAGUAACACUAAAAAUGUUGAAAUUUUUUAAUCACCUAUAAGAUGGCAAUGACAAUGGAAAUUCACUAACAUUUGCGAUUAAGUACGUAAAAAAUAUUUACGAGACAAAAUCAAAUUAAUUUUAACGUCUAAUAGGAAAUUUGAGAAUAAAACGACUAUUAAAAUAAGAAUGAUAUUU